UACGGUGGGAGCAAGCGUUGUUCGGAUUUACUGGGCGUAAAGGGCGCGUAGGCGGCCAGCACAAGUCAGUUGUGAAAUCUCCGAGCUUAACUCGGAAAGGUCAACUGAUACUGUGCGGCUAGAGUGCGGAAGGGGCAACUGGAAUUCCAGGUGUAGCGGUGAAAUGCGUAGAUAUCUGGAGGAAUACCGGUGGCGAAGGCGGCAUCCUGGACCGAGAUUGACGCUGAGGAGCGAAAGCUAGGGGAGCAAACGGG
rnacentral:rRNA from 1 species